rnacentral:snRNA from 1 species
AGCUUUGCGCAGUGGCAGUAUCGUAGCCAAUGAGGUUUAGCCGAGGCGCGAUUAUUGCUAAUUGAAAAAUCUAAGCCAUGGAA